rnacentral:rRNA from 1 species
CAGGAGGGGCAAGCGUUGUUCGGAAUUACUGGGCGUAAAGGGCGCGUAGGUGGCCCGCUAAGUCGAACGUGAAAUCCCCGAGCUCAACUCGGGAACUGCGUCCGAUACUGGCGGGCUUGAAUCCGGGAGAGGGAUGCGGAAUUCCAGGUGUAGCGGUGAAAUGCGUAGAUAUCUGGAGGAACACCGGUGGCGUAGGCGGCAUCCUGGACCGGCAUUGACGCUGAGGCGCGAAAGCUAGGGGAGCAAACGGGAUUAGAUACCCCGGUAGUCCUAGCCCUAAACGAUGAAUGCUUGGUGUGGCGGGUAUCGAUCCCUGCCGUGCCGAAGCUAACGCAUUAAGCAUUCCGCCUGGGGAGUACGGUCGCAAGGCUG